AACGAACGCUGGCGGCAUGCCUAACACAUGCAAGUCGAACGAGACCUUCGGGUCUAGUGGCGCACGGGUGCGUAACGCGUGGGAACCUGCCCUUAGGUUCGGAAUACCUCCCCGAAAGGGGUGCUAAUACCGGAUAAUGUCUUCGCACCAAAGAUUUAUCGCCUUUGGAUGGGCCCGCGUUGGAUUAGCUAGUUGGUAGUGUAAAAGCCUACCAAGGCGACGAUCCAUAGCUGGUCUGUGAGGAUGAUCAGCCACACUGGGACUGAGACACGGCCCAGACUCCUACGGGAGGCAGCAGUGGGGAAUAUUGGACAAGGGGCGAAAGCCUGAUACAGCAAUGCCGCGUGAGUGAUGAAGGCCUUAGGGUUGUAAAGCUCUUUUAGCCGGGAUGAUAAUGACAGUACCGGGAGAAUAAGCACCGGCUAACUCCGUG
rnacentral:rRNA from 1 species